rnacentral:rRNA from 1 species
GACGAACGCUGGCGGCGUGCCUAAUACAUGCAAGUUGAGCGCUGAAGGUUGGUACUUGUACCAACUGGAUGAGCAGCGCACGGGUGAGUAACGCGUGGGGAAUCUGCCUUUGAGCGGGGGACAACAUUUGGAAACGAAUGCUAAUACCGCAUAAAAACUUUAAACACAAGUUUUAAGUUUGAAAGAUGCAAUUGCAUCACUCAAAGAUGAUCCCGCGUUGUAUUAGCUAGUUGGUGAGGUAAAGGCUCACCAAGGCGAUGAUACAUAGCCGACCUGAGAGGGUGGUCGGCCACAUUGGGACUGGGACACGGCCCAAACUCCUACGGGGGGCAGCAGGAGGGAAUCUUCGGACAUGGACGAAAGUCUGACCGAGCAACGCCGCGGGAGUGAAGAAGGUUUUCGGAUCGUAAAACUCUGUUGGUAGAGAAGAACGUUGGUGAGAGUGGAAAGCUCAUCAAGUGACGGUAACUACACAGAAAGGGACGGCUAACUACGUG